rnacentral:tRNA from 1 species
UGUUCUGUGGUUUAUUUGGUUAAAGCGCCGGACUAGCGUUACGAAGUCAAGUGUUCGAAUCUCAUCAAAACAA